UAACCAAUGAUAAACUGCCAGCCCUAAAC
rnacentral:piRNA from 1 species